AACGAACGCUGGCGGCAUGCCUAACACAUGCAAGUCGAACGAGACCUUCGGGUCUAGUGGCGCACGGGUGCGUAACGCGUGGGAACCUGCCCUUAGGUUCGGAAUAACUCCCCGAAAGGGGUGCUAAUACCGGAUAAUGUCUUCGGACCAAAGAUUUAUCGCCUUUGGAUGGGCCCGCGUUGGAUUAGCUAGUUGGUAGGGUAAAAGCCUACCAAGGCUACGAUCCAUAGCUGGUCUGAGAGGAUGAUCAGCCACACUGGGACUGAGACACGGCCCAGACUCCUACGGGAGGCAGCAGUGGGUAAUAUUGGACAAUGGGCGAAAGCCUGAUCCAGCAAUGCCGCGUGAGUGAUGAAGGCCUUAGGGUUGUAAAGCUCUUUUACCCGGGAUGAUAAUGACAGUACCGGGAGAAUAAGCUCCGGCUAACUCCGUG
rnacentral:rRNA from 1 species